rnacentral:rRNA from 1 species
CCAUGCCGCGUGCAGGAAGACUGCCCUAUGGGUUGUAAACUGCUUUAUACAGGAAGAAACACUCCCUCGUGAGGGAGCUUGACGGUACUGUAAGAAUAAGGAUCGGCGUAACUCCGUGCCAGCAGCCGCGGUAAUACGGAGGAUCCAAGCGUUAUCCGGAAUCAUUGGGUUUAAAGGGUCCGUAGGUGGAUUAGUAAGUCAGAGGUGAAAUCCUGCAGCUCAACUGUAGAACUGCCUUUGAUACUGCUAGUCUUGAGUCAUUAUGAAGUGGUUAGAAUGUGUAGUGUAGCGGUGAAAUGCAUAGAUAUUACACAGAAUACCGAUUGCGAAGGCAGAUCACUAAUAAUGUACUGACACUGAUGGACGAAAGCGUGGGGAGCGAACAGGAUUAGAUACCCUGGUAG